CAGGUGAGGCCCAGCUGAACUGGGGUAAGCCUUAACCUCUAUUACUAGAGAUACUCAUAAGCAGAAGAAAUCCGGAGACAGUCAUUCCAACUCUCCUUCUGUAAAGGACAUAGUCGUGUGAUGAGAGGCAGAGACGCAGAGACCCAACGAUUGCCGCAAGCCAGUCCCAGAAUGCUACAGACUUUGGAGAAAAAGCAUGGCCUUGCUGAUGCCUUGAUUUUGGACUUCUAGCUUCCAAAACCACAUGCUAACAAAUUCUUGUUGUUCAAGCCAACCCAGUCUGUGAUAUUUGUCACAGCAGCUCUGGCAGACUAAGACAAAAAGUGUUCAGAGCAAAAGGCAGUUAUGCCUUGCUCCUAAGACAUGCAGAAACACGAGACCCAUGGAAAGCUGUCUCCCGACAGUGGUCUUCAGGUCAGUGCUGAAGUUGUGCUUGCAGCUGUGGGUCACCUGGCUGUGACUCCAGCCUGCAGUUGGGGUCAGUCUGCCCAACAUGGUUCCUCUUUCUCCUUGGACCUGUGGCUACCCUGGACUUGCUUUUCUCCUGGAGGAUCACAGGAACACUCACAGGAUUUCACUGCAGGGCUGAGCAAGGAGCUCCUAGCCCUGUCCUCGGCAUCCAUCACUACAUUUGGGAUGUACCAUCUCCUCCUGAUUCUCUCAAUUCUGCGUCCUAGGGACUGAUUUCCCAGAAGCGUAAAACUUAGCGGACAAGCGUUAAGCCGAGGAGCAAGAGGACCGUUUGUGGAAUUCUCAAAGUCCCCUGGCUGCAGGGUGAAGAGGUGGCCUGAGGGCAAGGGCGAGCCGAGGAGACUGCUCUGGAGAUGAGCACAGCCGCCCUGGAGAGGGAAACGUGGCCUGCACCGAGCAGCGGCACAGACGGCAGCGGCCCAUGGGAGUGAGACCAAGGAGCGGGACCCGGAGGGCCUGCGCAGGGGAGCAGGGGGAGCCUCAAGUCUAGUGAGUGUUCACCACAGGCCAGGGGUUCACAGGCGCCCGGCCAGCCUCAGCGCUUCUCCCAUUUUAAAAACAAAGGCGUUGGGAAGCGGACUCGGCCCAGUGGUGAGGGCGUCCGCCUACCACAUGGGAGGUCCAGGGGCGGGGAAGGGGAGAGAGAAAAAUAAAAAAUAAAUCUUAAAAAAAAAGCAACACGACGAAGGCAUUGAGGCUCCGAAAGGCAGCGGGUGCUGCGAGGUGGCCCAGCUGCAGGCGGGGAGCCCACACUGAACCCUGGGGGUGUGCGCCAAGUCCCUACACGGGGCUGGGGGCACGAGGAGUCAGGACGGCGCCAGGCUUUGGAGAGCCGCCCCUCUGGAGGAGAGGUGGCGGGGGAGGGAGAAGGGGAGGAUUUCCAGCUUAGACACGCAGAGGGCGAAGUCCGACAGGCGGCGCCUCCACAGCUCGCGGCCAGGGGCUGGAGCCAGGCCGAGACCCGGGAGGUGUCCUCAGGUCAGAGAUGCUCGGGGACGCCCCGACUGCUGGGGCCUCCUCUCGGAGGCAGGAGGGCGCUACCCGCUGGGUGCCGGACCGCCUGCCAGGCUGGCUUCCCUCCGACCCUCUGCCGCCCACUGGGGGUGGCCUUGGGCAAGUGUCGCCACCUCCCUGGGCCUUGGUCACUUCAUCUGAAAAAAUGGGAAAGCGGCUGGUACCUUCCUCGAGGGGUUGUUACGAGGAUUAGCUGGGAUUAAUAUUCACGUCGUGCUGCGUGAGCACUUGUUAGGUGAAAAAGUGCAACGACUUUUGUAGGCCUUGUCCUCUGAGUGGUAAGGAAGGUUGGUCCUCUCUGGGGAGCGGGAUGGGGUCAAGAACGCGAUGACUCUUGGGGUGCUCCCCUGCUCUUACCCUCCCUGGAGGUUGAUCCCUCCCUGGAGAAGCGGGCCGGAGGUAUUCCCCUAACUCCAUUGGCUUCUUCUCCCAACGACAGCUAUGCCGGGUCUUUUGUAGCCGCUGCCUUUUUUGUGUUUUAAAUAUAUUACCACUGAGACACUUCAUUGAGGUAUAUAAGCACCUAGCAAAGUGUACAACACAACGAAAUCUCACCAACUGAGCACGCCCCGUAAUCAACCCCAGAGCAAGAGCAGGCGUGACUGCCCCCUGCUGGCCAUUCCCCAGGGAAUCCUCGAGUGUGCGCCCUGCUGAGUCUGCCUCUUUCAUCUCAACGUGACUUCUGUGAGAUUCCCUCACACCCUGAUUCUCAUGGUGUGAACGUUUCUUUCACGUGUUGUCGUUGCUCUAAAGUAUUCCAUCGCGUGAGUGAACCACUUUAUCCGUUCUUCUGUUGACGGGCAGUUGGGUGGUUUCCGGGUUGCCUGCAGUGCAUUCAGACCUGCUGAGGACGUCCUUGCA
ensembl:lincRNA